GACGAACGCUGGCGGCGUGCCUAAUACAUGUAAGUCGAGCGAAUCAAUAGGAGCUUGCUCCUGUUGGUUAGCGGCGGACGGGUGAGUAACACGUGGGCAACCUGCCUGUAAGACUGGGAUAACACCGGGAAACCGGUGCUAACACCGGAUAAUCCUUUUCCUCUCAUGAGGAAAAGCUGAAAGUCGGUUUCGGCUGACACUUACAGAUGGGCCCGCGCCGCAUUAGCUAGUUGGUGAGGUAACGGCUCACCAAGGCGACGAUGCGUAGCCGACCUGAGAAGGUGAUCGGCCACGCUGGGACUGAGACAAGACACAGACUACUACGGGAGGCAGCAGUAGGGAAUCGUCCACAAUGGACGAAAGUCUGAUGGAGCAACGCCGAGUGAGUGAUGAAGGCCUUCGGGGCGUAAAGCUCUGUUGUUAGGGAAGAACAAGUACCGGAGCAACUGCCGGUACCUUGACGGUACCUAACCAGAAAGCCACGGCUAACUACGUGCCAGCCGCCGCCGUAAAAC
rnacentral:rRNA from 1 species